GAGCUAUAUGGAUAUGGAUAUUACUGUUAAUAUUAUGGUAUUAGUAACAGUAUUACAUCUCGAUCUCAUCCCAAUUCCAAUCAUAGAGACUACCGACUCAAAAGAAAGAAAGAAAGACAUGAAAUCCCAACUGUGGCGCCUCUGCCUUUGUCUCAUGUUUGCCUUCUUCAUCAUAGUGUGUGCUGCUGCUGCUCACAAUUCUAUUUCUCUCUCAGUUGCAGAGAACCAGGGAGAGUCUGUAACUGCAAGUAUAGUUGGAGUUAACGAUUAUGGAGAAACAGGACCUAAUCCAAAGCAUGAUCCCUACACACCCACGCCCCCCAUCCCUAUCUGAAGCUGCCUUCCAACUCCCAUUCCAUGGUUGUUAUGGAUAGAUACCUAAGGCAAGCUCCUCCUCCACACUUGAGCUGAGCCUGCCCCAGCCUUGUCUCUCUUAUCACUGUUUAAGCUUUCCUUAUCUUGUUUCCAGUCACUGAUUGACUGACUUGUGCACUAUUUCUCAUUUUGCUAAUUCAAUCAGAAUGGAAACAUAAAUAUACCAAUUAAGCAUUCCAGGUGUUGCUCUUUUCAA